UAUAUAUCUUGAUAAAAGAAUUUAAUGAUCUACAUUUAUUACCGAUCAACUACCACCAUUUAAAAUGUUUACAAGCUAAUACUAAUAUACAUAUCAUUUGACUACAUAAUAUUGUUUUCCAAAGAAAUUUUAAGUCACUGGACAAUGGACUGUGAAGUGCGGACACUGGACAGUAGACAAUAAUCACAAAUUCACAAACGACACAAACCACUGUAGUGUCACAGAUAACAGGAGUCAGUUGUCAAUUGUUAUCGGUUAUUGUUUCUUAUCUUUUACUAUUAUUAUCUUUAUUAUCUCAAUAUUAUUAAGUAAUGUACCCGGUCUAGUUUGGUACUCUGGUAGAAGAUAUUAUUGUCCUUGUAAAAUAAUUUAUAAUAAAUAAUAUAUAAAAUAUAAUGUUAUGUUAUGUUUUAUUCACCUUGAUAUGUUCUUUAGAUUUUGAAAAUUACCAGGCUAUUGGACAAUUAAUUUUGAAUUUUUGAAUAUAAUAUUUAGUUAUAUGCAUUAGGUAUAUCAGUAGCGUACUAGUGUAGCCAAAGAGCUAAAGAGCUAUAGCCUCCCCCAAUGGCUAUAUUUUUAUAUUGUUUUGAAAUAUGGAAAUUGUCUUACAAAUUUUACUAAUAUAUUUCUUGUUAUUAGUUGUAUAAUAGAAUAUUAUAAUAAUUUUGUUUUAAGUAUUAUUUUUGUAAUUGGAAAUUUUAAUCAAUAAAAAAAAAUAUACAUUUGAGUUAAAAAAGUA